GCCUUUGUGAUGUAGUGGUCAGCACGCUGGGCGCGUAUUCCGGAGUUUCGUGGUUCGAGUCCUGGCGAAGGCG
rnacentral:tRNA from 1 species